CUCCCUUCGCGCGCCUGCGCAGGGCCCUUUCUCCAUAGAGCGCGCGGAGGACAAGGACAGAAUGAACCAAACAAAAGACCAUAACUGUGGCUGGAACAGAGGAUGUGCAGCAGUCAGACCCCGCAGAGAUUGGAGGACAAGGUCACGUGCUCUGUGAGAAGCCCUACGGAGAGGCUCACAUGGCAAGAAACAGACCUCCCGCCAGCAAACCAGUGAGUCAUCUUGGAAGUGCACCCUCUAGUCCCUUUCAAGCCUUCAAGUCACCGCAGCCCUGGGUGAUGACAUCUGGACUGCAACCUCGCAAGAGACCCAGAGCAAAAGCCACCCUGCUAAGUGACUCCCAGGCCCCUGAUCCCCAGAAAUUAUAUUAAUAUAUAAACAGAAAUGUUGCCAGCUUGGACUGGAAGGGACAGAGAUGGUUACUAAAUGAAAAGAGCCUUUGGGUCACCAAAGUCCCCUAACAAGAAAGCAGGUCAUGAAAACCCUCUCAGCUGCAAAAACAUGUUACCUUUUAUGAAGAAGCAAGGAGGAGUCCAAGCAAGGAGUCUAGUCUAGAGGGUGGAGUCAAGAACCAUGGAGAAAGUAGUAGGAAUAAGUUCUCAUCAAGGAACUUCCCACAGUUGUCCAACCAGAUUUCAAAAUUGCUGUGGACCAGUGACACCUGUACACCCUCCAAUCCUCUCGCUCUUUUUGAAUAGGAGAACACAUGGCCGUACUUUGUGCCUGUCCCACCAUUGUAUAUGGGGCAUGUGGCUGGCACAUCACUUGUCUCUUUAGUUCACAGGCCAACAGAGUGAGGGCUUCACCACUCUCAGGCCUGAUGUAGGUGAUGAGGUUCCAGACUUUAGGCUGAUGCUGUCAUGGGAAGAGACUUUGGGGGCACUUGGGAAGAGGUGAGUAUAUUUUGCAGGAGGGAGAGACAUGAAUUAUUGGGGGCCCCAAUGAUCCUCACCUUCUGGUGUAUGGAGAUGCCUUCUGCAUUGUAUCCGGGUUGGUCUGUAUGACCAAUAAAUAUAGUUGCUUCUGAGAUUAGGUUAUAAAAGACUGCAUUUUCUGUCUUGGGCUCACUCUUGUUAUCUCUUGGAUUCCUUGCCUUGGGGAAAGCCAGACAGCCUAUGUGGUAAGGAACUGAGGCUUCCAGCCAGAGCCAGUGAGGGGCUGAUGCCUGUCAACAACCAUGUAUAUGAGCUUGGAAGUGGAUCCUCUAGCCCCACAUGACUGAACCCCUGAUGGAGCGCUUGACUUCAUCCAAACAAGGGACUCAGCAAAAACCAGCUGAGCUGCUCCCAGAUUCCUGAAUCUCAGAAAUAGUGUGACUAAAUAAAUGUUACUUC